GAUAAACGCUGGCGGCGUGCUUAACACAUGCAAGUCGAACGAAGUUUUUCUUUCGGGAGGAACUUAGUGGCGGACGGGUGAGUAACGCGCGGGUAACCUGCCCUGUACAGGGGGACAACAGCUGGAAACGGCUGCUAAUUACGCAUAAGCCCUUAGCCCUGCAUGGUGCAUAGGGUAAAGGAGCAAUCCGGUACAGGAUGGACCCGCGUCUGAUUAGCCAGUUGGCAGGGUAACUGCCUACCAAAGCGACGAUCAGUAGCCGAUCUGGUAGGAUGUACGGCCACAUUGGGACUGAGACACGGCCCAGACUCCUACGGGAGGCAGCAGUGGGGAAUAUUGCACAAUGGAGGAAACUCUGAUGCAGCGACGCCGCGUGAGUGAAGAAGUAUUUCGGUAUGUAAAGCUCUAUCAGCAGGAAAGAGAAUGACGGUACCUGACUAAGAAGCACCGGCUAAAUACGUG
rnacentral:rRNA from 1 species